UGUGCCAGCAGCCGCGGUAAUACGUAGGGUCCAAGCGUUAAUCGGAAUUACUGGGCGUAAAGCGUGCGCAGGCGGUUCGGAAAGAAAGAUGUGAAAUCCCAGAGCUUAACUUUGGAACUGCAUUUUUAACUACCGGGCUAGAGUGUGUCAGAGGGAGGUGGAAUUCCGCGUGUAGCAGUGAAAUGCGUAGAUAUGCGGAGGAACACCGAUGGCGAAGGCAGCCUCCUGGGAUAACACUGACGCUCAUGCACGAAAGCGUGGGGAGCAAACAGGAUUAGAUACCCUGGUAGUCCACGCCCUAAACGAUGUCAACUAGCUGUUGGGGCCUUCGGGCCUUGGUAGCGCAGCUAACGCGUGAAGUUGACCGCCUGGGGAGUACG
rnacentral:rRNA from 1 species